CUGGUGUCAGCCGCCGCGGUAAUACCAGCACCCCGAGUGGUCGGGACGAUUAUUGGGCCUAAAGCAUCCGUAGCCGGCCUUACAAGUCCUCCGUUAAAUCCAGCUGCUUAACAGAUGGGCUGCGGAGGAUACUAUAAGACUAGGAGGCAGGAGAGGCAAGCGGUACUCAGUGGGUAGGGGUAAAAUCCGUUGAUCCAUUGAAGACCACCAGUGGCGAAGGCGGCUUGCCAGAAUGCGCUCGACGGUGAGGGAUGAAAGCUGGGGGAGCAAACCGGAUUAGAUACCCGGGUAGUCCCAGCUGUAAACGAUGCAGACUCGGUGAUGGACUAGCUUUAUGCUGGUCCAGUGCCGCAGGGAAGCCGUUAAGUCUGCCGCCUGGGUAGUACGGUCGCAAGACUGAAACUUAAAG
rnacentral:rRNA from 2 species